GUGUUGGUAUAGUGGUUAAUGCAUUCGGCAUUCAAUGCUGAUGCGUGAGUUCGAUACUCACAAGAGGCA